AUUGAACGCUGGCGGCAUGCCUUACACAUGCAAGUCGAACGGCAGCACGGGAGCAAUCCUGGUGGCGAGUGGCGAACGGGUGAGUAAAGUAUCGGAACGUGCCCAGUCGUGGGGGAUAACGUAGCGAAAGUUACGCUAAUACCGCAUACGAUCUAUGGAUGAAAGCAGGGGAUCACUUGUGACCUUGCGCAAAUAGAUGAGCCUAAGUCGGAUUAGCUAGUUGGUGGGGUAAAGGCCUACCAAGGCGACGAUCUGUAGCGGGUCCGAGAGGAUGACAAGCCAAACGGGAACUGAGACACGGUCCAGACUCCUACGGGAGGCAGCAGUGGGGAAUAUUGCACAAUGGGCGCAAGCCUGAUGCAGCCAUGCCGCGUGUAUGAAGAAGGCCUUCGGGUUGUAAAGUACUUUCAGCGGGGAGGAAGGCGGUGAAGUUAAUAACUUCACCGAUUGACGUUACCCGCAGAAGAAGCACCGGCUAACUCCGUGCCAGCAGCCGCCGUAA
rnacentral:rRNA from 1 species